GCCUCCUGCCCAUGUGGGGAAACAGGCAGGAACGACGCUGGGAGGAGUCUCCAGGUCAGACCCAGCUUGGAAGCAAGUCUGUCCUCACUGCCUGUCCUUCUGCCAUCAUAACACCCCCUUCCUGCUCUGCUCCCCAGAAUCCUCAGAAACGGGAUUUGUAUUUGCCAUGACUGGUUGGCCUGAACACAUAGGGCUCCGUGACUGGGACAGGAAUGGGCAGGAGAAGCAAGAGUCGGAGCUCCAAGGGGCCCAGGGGUGGCCUGGGGAAGGAAGAUGGUCAGCAGGCUGGGGGAGAGGCUCUAGGUGAUGAAAUAUUAUAUUCCCGACCCCAAGAGAGCACCCACCCUCAGACCUGCCCUCCAUCUGGCAGCUGGGGAGCCCUGGCCUGACCCCCCGCCCACCGCAGGCCCACCCUCUCUCUGACUUCCCUGCUCUCACCUCCCUGAGAACAGCUAGAGCCCCCUCCUCCGCCUGGCCAGGCCACCAGCUUCUCUUCUGCAAACGUUUGUGCCUCUGAAAUGUUCCGUUGUUAUUGUUUCAAGACCCUAACUUUUUUUUUUAACUUUCUUAAUAAAG
rnacentral:lncRNA from 1 species